rnacentral:rRNA from 1 species
AUUGAACGCUGGCGGCAGGCCUAACACAUGCAAGUCGAGCGGAUGAAGGGAGCUUGCUCCUGGAUUCAGCGGCGGACGGGUGAGUAAUGCCUAGGAAUCUGCCUGGUAGUGGGGGAUAACGUCCGGAAACGGGCGCUAAUACCGCAUACGUCCUGAGGGAGACAGUGGGGGAUCUUCGGACCUCACGCUAUCAGAUGAGCCUAGGUCGGAUUAGCUAGUUGGUGGGGUAAAGGCCUACCAAGGCGACGAUCCGUAACUGGUCUGAGAGGAUGAUCAGUCACACUGGAACUGAGACACGGUCCAGACUCCUACGGGAGGCAGCAGUGGGGAAUAUUGGACAAUGGGCGAAAGCCUGAUCCAGCCAUGCCGCGUGUGUGAAGAAGGUCUUCGGAUUGUAAAGCACUUUAAGUUGGGAGGAAGGGCAGUAAGUUAAUACCUUGCUGUUUUGACGUUACCAACAGAAUAAGCACCGGCUAACUUCGUG